UCGUACUCAUAAGUUAUUUUCAAUGUUGGGACUUUCAAAUCGACGAUUGAUUCCAUUAGACUUGAUCUAGAGUAUUUGAAGUGCUUAGAAAAUAAAUUUUAUAAUUUUUUUAUAUCAUUUGCUUAGUGAUCAAAGGGGCUCAAAAUCAACGGCUUAGUUUAUUGGCAAAUAAUUCAAGAAUUAGUUAGAUACGUUCGUAAACAAAUUAUUUUUUAGUCAUGUUUGGCUCAACAGAUCAAGAGAGAAGAAUAGUAAUUUCACCAAUUAGGCGGAACAAGUUAUUUUUAUAUUUUAUUUUUUUACUAAUUAAAUUAUAAAUAAGUAAUUAUAAAAUAUAAUUCAAUUAAUGUAAUCAAUUUUUAUUAAUUAAAUAAUUAAUCAUUUUGCUUAGUAAAUUUAUAAAUACUUAAAUAAUAAUUUGUUUAUUGUUUAUAAUUAAUUAUCUAAUUAAAUAAUUAAUAUUUGAUAUUCUUAUUCAAUCAUUAACUAAUAUUUAUAUUAUUUAAAUAAUUAAUACUUUAAUUUAUCUGAUUAAUGUAUUAUAUAAAAAUAAAUUAUUAACAUAUUGACUUAUAUUUUAUAGUUACUCACUAAUUAACAUUUUUUAUUGGAUUCUAAUUAACUUUUUAUAAACUAGGUAAAAUGUUAUUUUAUUAAUAUUUAAUUAGAUAUUUUUUCGUUUUUAAUGGUAAUUACUCUUAUUACUAGUACCCAACCAAAUUAUCCAAAUAUAAUUUUUCUUAUUUCUCUAAAUAUCUCGAUUUUCGUCUAAAUAUAAAAUUAGUUUAAUUUCUGUCUAUUUCAAUAUUACAUCUAUUCAAAAAAUAAAUAAAAAUAGUUUAUUCUUUAAACAAAUGUUCGAAACAUUUUACGCAUUACGGAAUAGAGUACAUAUAUAAAUUCUUUAGAUUUAUGAAAGACAAAAAUAUGAUACAGUGGAUCAUUUUAUAUCACUCAAUUGUUUUAUAUAUGUGCAAAUUAUUAUCUUCUUGUGUCAUUAUAUGUAGUCCACUUAUUGUGAACAUUUGACUAAUAAUUGUCAUGUCAUGUAGCGGAAUAAUUGUGACUUUUUUUGGGGGGAGAAUAAUUUUGAAUAAUUGGCUAAUAAAUUUAUUAUUUUCAUAUAAUAUGUCACAUUGAUUAUUCUCAAUUUUGUAUUUUCGUAUAGGACACAUCCCGAACCCCUAUUAAAUUAAUUAAUUAUCUUUGUAUUGACUUUUGUUGCUUGAUAUUUGUAGGGAAUUGCAUUGGGGACCUUUUUUUAAUUACAGAUGAUUUAAUUAAAAUAAAUAGAUUAAUAAUAUUUCAUAACAUUUAAUUUUGUGAUGUAGUAUUCGUACAAUUUUGAAAAAUUUGACCUGACCUGGUUUAAUAUCACUUGUUUUUGCUAUUGAGUAUUAAUAAAAAUAGCUAAUUGUAUUACAUUCACUACAACAAAAACGGUCUAUAGCGACACUUUUAAAUAUAGGUAUAUGUUAAAAAAGUACUGCUAGCUAAAAUUACCGACACUUUUAAAAAGUGUUGCUAUAUGUGGGGUCGCUAGGUAUAUAGUGACAGUUAAAGAGUGUAGCUAUAACCUAAAAGAGUGCUGCUAAUUUACCAACACUUAUUUAAGCAUUUAGCAACCGCCGAAACUCUAUCUCAUUGGCUGCGGUGACGGAUGAGGAUGACAGGAAAGGUUCUUCGUCUAGAAUUUCAGUGGAUUGAGUGAAGAGAUAAAAAAAAGAUAGUAAUUCAUUUUUCUUUUUCUUUUUUUCUUUUCUGUUUGUAAUCGGGUCAAAUGGACUGAGUGUGGUGGGUUGAGUAGAGUAAUCUUUUAAUUUUGGUUGGAUUGGGCUUUAUAUUUAGGCAUAAGUAGAUAUUUUUUUAAGUUUUAGUGUAAAUGGGAUACUUACUCAAAAGUGUCCCAAACAUGUGUCCCUAUAACCUAAUUCUGUUGUAGUGAUUAUCCUAUUAAUUUGUCUCUUGAAGGUAAGAGAAUAUUAGAUUAAAAAACUUUGAAUCAAUUUUAUAUGUAAUAGGAAGGUUAAAUUAAAUUAAACAAAUGAGCUUAUCUAAACUACGGAUUAUUUGGAUUUGGCCGCCGAAACUUUCAAAAUUUUGAAUUUACUAUCUAAUUUUUUAAUUUGUUUGACUUAAGCCAAUCAACGACAUUUUAAUUUUAAAAUUUGAAUGUGUUUUUUUAUCUUUUCAAGUUUAAUUAAUAUAUUUUAUAUAAUUCUCGUAACUAUAAAUUUAUUAAAACUGAUAAUUAAUUGAAAUUUUGGAGUCAAAAUGUCAUUUACUUGCUUAAGUCAAAUAAAUUGAAAGAUUGGAUAGUAAAAUCAAAAUUUUAAAAAAUACGAUAGCUAAAUUCAAAUAGUUUAUAGUUCAUAUAAGUUCUAUACAAUAUUAUCCGUCUCAAGUAAAAAUGGAUAUGCUAAUAUUACAUGUUUUGGCUAUUAACUAUUAAAAUUAACUAAUUGUAGACAUUAUUAUUAUCAUAUUAAUUUAUCAUUUUAGAGAAAAAGAAACUCUAUAAUAUAUAUAAUAAUAAUAGAUAUAUAUUAUUCUUCCUAAAUUUGUCACAUGGCAUAGCUUUCUUCAUUGUUGAGUAUGGGCUCCAUUCCGAUCUGGCUCAAGUUCUUCAUAUAUAUUUCUCUUUCUUCGUGUAAAACGAACUAGAUUUUUCUCUUUCAGAUCGAACCAAUUAUUGUUGAGUGUGGCAUUUUCCGAACUGGCUCAGGUUCUUCAUAUAUAUUUUUUUUGGCUUUAUUUGAAUCGAAUCGGGUCAUAUCUCUGUAUUGGGCCAAACUGUUCAUUUUCUACUUUUUUCUGUUGUUAUCUUUCUUCGUCGACAAGAUGAAUCUCACUUCUUAUCGUCGCUAGCUCCUUUUCUUACUAUUUUCUCUUUCUUUAUCAAUAUUUUUUAUUUUUUUCAAUUAUCUAUUUGUCGCAUCGUAUCGAUUACUAUACUGUAGUAGUACAUCACAAACUUGGAAUCUUUUUAAUUUGUAAAUGAAAUGGGGACCAAGUAAUAUUUAUACGUCUCGUUUUCGCGAAAGCAACUCCCCACCCACUCCAUUACCCUGUCCCUGUGUGUGUGUGUGUGUGUGUGUGUGUGUGUGUGAAAGCAAAACACGGUUGAUAUGAUCAUGGUAUUGUAAGCUUUUAUGCCCUUGGGAGGAAGCUUCACUUUCGCAGAGACUUUUUUUUCUAUAAUAAUAAUAUUAUUCUCUCUUGUGUGCAUGCAUGUAUAUAUGUGUGUGUAGGGAAAAAGCCAAUGAAAAAAAAAAGGCAAAGUAUUAUUUCACGAAAGGGGAAAAAAAGAAAAAAAGGAAAGAAAAUAAUGAGGGGUUGUGCUUUGAGUGCGAAAGGGCCACUCUUUGUCUCCACUUUGAAUCCGCUUCUUUAAUUUUUAGUAUUAUUGAUUUAUUUCUUCUUCGUUUCCCAAACCCCCCCAGGUGUCGUGAUUGCAACACAUACCUGCAAAUUAUUCGUAAAUUUAUGGAUAUAUAUAUAUAUAUAUAUAUAUAUAUAUAGAAUUAGGCUACUAUACUAUUUAUAUUACCGAGCUUCGGUACUAUAGUGUUUGUUUUCGAUCUUAGGGCGUUCAAAUCAACGAUCCACACCGUUAAAUAUGAUCUAGGGUAUAUGAAUUUCUUAGGAAUAAAAUUUUAGUUUUUUUCGAUAUCGUUUACUUAGUAAAUAAAUUAUGUCAAAAUGGACGGUAAAAAUUGAAUAAUUUUUAAAAUUUGAGCAUAGAACUUUUAAAUUCAAGAUCAAGAAUGUUAACCUUAAUCUAUAUAGUUUAAAGUAUUUUCUAUCAAAAUUUGAAGAAAAUUUAGAUUCUUCUACACGUUAAACUCCAAACUCGUCAUAAUAGCCAUUGAAAAUUGACAAUUUUGAAAUAGUUUGAUCAUAAAGUAA
rnacentral:lncRNA from 1 species